rnacentral:rRNA from 1 species
UACGAAGGGGGCUAGCGUUGCUCGGAAUUACUGGGCGUAAAGCGCACGUAGGCGGCUUCUAAGUCGGGGGUGAAAUCCUGGAGCUCAACUCCAGAACUGCCUUCGAUACUGGAAAGCUCGAGUCCGGGAGAGGUGAGUGGAACUGCGAGUGUAGAGGUGAAAUUCGUAGAUAUUCGCAAGAACACCGUGGCGAAGGCGGCCACCUGGGCCGACCCUGACGCCUGGAGGCGCGAAGGCGUGGGGAGCGAACGGG